rnacentral:tRNA from 2 species
GGGGCUGUAGCUCAGUUGGGAGAGCGCUUGUAUCGCACACAAGAGGUAGUGGGUUCAAAUCCCAUCAGCUCCA